rnacentral:rRNA from 1 species
UGGGUAACCUGCCUCAAAGAGGGGAAUAGCCUCCCAAAAGGGAGAUUAAUACCGCAUAAUAUGUUUUAGUCGCAUGACUUAAACAUCAAAGGAUUUUCUUUUAGGAAUUCUACUUUGAGAUGGACCCGCGGCGCAUUAGCUAGUUGGUGAGGUAACGGCUCACCAAGGCAACGAUGCGUAGCCGACCUGAGAGGGUGAUCGGCCACAUUGGAACUGAGACACGGUCCAGACUCCGUAGGGACGG